rnacentral:rRNA from 1 species
GAUGAACGCUAGCGAUAGGCUUAACACAUGCAAGUCGAGGGGCAGCACAAGGUAGCUUGCUAUCUGGGUGGCGACCGGCGCCCGUGUGCGUAACGCGUAUGCAACUUGCCCUAUACAGGAGGAUAACCCGUCGAAAGACGGACUAAUACUGCGUAUGCUCACAACUUGGCAUCAAGUGGUGAGGAAAGAAAUUCGGUAUAGGAUAGGCAUGCGUCCCAUUAGCUUGUUGGUGAGGUAACGGCUCACCAAGGCAACGAUGGGUAGGGGAACUGAGAGGUUUAUCCCCCACACGGGUACUGAGACACGGACCAGACGCCUACGGGAGGCAGCAGUGAGGAAUAUUGGUCAAUGGGCGCGAGCCUGAACCAGCCAAGUCGCGUGAAGGAGGACUGUCUUAUGGAUUGUAAACUUCUUUUAGACGGGAAUAACAAGAGCCACGUGUGACUCCCUGCAUGUACCGUAUGAAUAAGCAUCGGCUAACUCCGUG